GCGGGGGUAAUUCAGUGGUAGAAUGCCUCCUUGCCAAGGAGGAUGUCGCGAGUUCGAGCCUCGUCUCCCGCUCCA
rnacentral:tRNA from 31 species